GCAGUGGUGGUUCACUGGUAGAAUUCUCGCCUGCCACGCGGGAGACACGGGUCCGAUUCCCGGCCAACGCA
rnacentral:tRNA from 1 species